rnacentral:rRNA from 1 species
ACACACCCGUUCCCAUCCCGAACACGGAAGUUAAGCUCUCCAGCGCCGAUGGUAGUUGGGGCCAGGGCCCCUGCGAGAGUAGGACGUUGCCGGGC